AGUAACGCGUGAGGAACCUGCCUCAAAGAGGGGACAACAGUUGGAAACGACUGCUAAUACCGCAUAAGCCCACAGCUCGGCAUCGAGCAGAGGGAAAAGGAGUGAUCCGCUUUGAGAUGGCCUCGCGUCCGAUUAGCUAGUUGGUGAGGUAAUGGCCCACCAAGGCGACGAUCGGUAGCCGGACUGAGAGGUUGAACGGCCACAUUGGGACUGAGACACGGCCCAA
rnacentral:rRNA from 1 species